GCCCCUCCUGUGCCCGGCGGCACCGCCGUCCCUGCGCUCCGCGGCUCCCCGUGCGACGGCGCGGAAAAGACGACGCUGCGCCCGAACCUCUGCUCUGUCGGCAGUGCUGCGAGCUCGGCCGUUCGUGCAGCAAAGAAGAAAUGAGACAGUGGGAAGUGAAUGAUGCAGGUGUCCUGUGGCUGCUGAGCGCAGCUCCCCACAUCCAGCACCAGGACUGCUCCAUAGACUGACAGCAGUUCAGGAUGUUGCAGCAUACAACAUAAUGUUUAAACUAAUAUUCAAAAAUGUC